rnacentral:rRNA from 1 species
AAGCGCUGUUCGGAAUUACUGGGCGUAAAGGGCGCGUAGGCGGCCUGCUAAGUCGAACGUGAAAUCCCCGAGCUCAACUCGGGAACUGCGUCCGAUACUGGCAGGCUUGAAUCCGGGAGAGGGAUGCGGAAUUCCAGGUGUAGCGGUGAAAUGCGUAGAUAUCUGGAGGAACACCGGUGGCGAAGGCGGCAUCCUGGACCGACACUGACGCUGAGAAGCGAAAGCCAGGGGAGCAAACGGG